rnacentral:rRNA from 1 species
AGGAAGUAAAAGUCGUAACAAGGUUUCCGUAGGUGAACCUGCGGAAGGAUCAUUAUUCAUAUAUGGGACAUACAAGUGUUUCCUGACCCAAAUCCUCUUUGUGUACUUAUCCAUGUUGCUUUCCCAGGUGGUUGGUUUUACUAGUUGUUUAACCCUUCCUGCUAGUUGAGUUAACUUUACUAUGUAGGCUCCUGGGAGAGGGCCUAUUUCAAGCAAACUAUUAAAUCAGUUGUCUGAGUUGGCCUAGUGUCAUAUCUUUUUAAAUAAAUUAAAACUUUCAACAACGGAUCUCUUGGCUCUCGUAUCGAUGAAGAACGCAGCGAAAUGCGAUAAGUAAUGUGAAUUGCAGAAUUCAGUGAAUCAUCGAAUCUUUGAACGCACAUUGCGCCCCUUGGUAUUCCUUGGGGCAUGCCUGUUCGAGCGUCACUACAAACCCACUCAUAAAUAUUAUGGUAAUGGUGGAUGUGAAAGGAGGCUACUAGUAUGUCUCAGUCACCCCAUUGAAAUACAUAGGCAGGACAAUUAUCUUUAGCAAAGGACUUAGUAACUGUUAUGAAAACAUAUAUUAGUUUCUUGCUAGGAUUUGGACUGACUUCUAUGGAUCUCCAUUAAAGAUAAAUUCUGGGUUGACCUCGGAUCAGGUAGGGAUACCCGCUGAACUUAAGCAUAUCAA